GGGUGUCUGCCCCAUUCAACGAACGCUGCGCAUGGUGGAGGCCAGAGGCGCGCCAUUGUCAUGCGUUUCGUUACCGCAGGUGACCCUAGCUUCCCUCGUCUAUUUAGAAAGCUGCGACCGAAGCCUAAGCUAUUCACCUCUCCGUGCUCCUCGCGUCCGCCACCCUAGAAAGAUCACGGGAGCCCUCGGUGUGGUGUCCGCGCAGAAGUUAGGGGGGCACCACGGAUUGUGGUGUAGCGUCUUCACAUCGGCGAGGACGCAUACCCUAGGAGCAUCGCAAGAUCACACCAAGCGUACCCGUGGAGGUGGUGGGCUCUGACGGUAGGGGUAGAAGAGUGGAUUGCUCGCCGGAGUUCAACGAGAGCCUCCGUCCGCCCCACGCCCGGUUCUGCGCGCACGUCAUCACGAUUUUCGGUACGAACCCCUUUCAUAGUUUAGAAUUGAUCCUCGCUUUGUUUAGAUGGGUCCUGCGUAGAGAAUCAAGAACCGUAUCAAUGUCAGGGCUGUCGCCGGUGAUGUUCCGCCAUAUGGGGACGGUGGCGCCGCCAUUCAAAACGAAACGGGUGAGGAAAAAUGGCGUAUGCCGUUGAUGAGCAAGCGAAUGGCUGGGAUUAUCCGGCGCGUACCCGUUCGGCGGUGUCAAUCCGGACCGUCCAUCUCUGAUCGAGCGCAUGUGAUUCACCGUGGGCAACGUAAGAUCCGGACGGUUGAACUAAGAUCCUAGGGCCAAAUAUGCGUACCAGUUCACUUAAUGCGACAUCUAAUCAUGGCCCUCAGAAUGAGAUCCAAUGGCUAGAAUCCAUCCAUACUCUCGGUCGCGACAGAUUUACAUCUGAGGCCCUCAGGAUUCGCUAAAUAGAACCCGCAAUCCACCCAGGUGUUGUCUGAGUCUUGGAAAACUUUGCAAGUUAACCCUUGUGCUAUUUGGUAUUUAAUGUGCAGUCCAACAGCCAGGGAAUUAAGAAAAAACAAUAUUAGAAGUUGAUUUUAAUACAAAAAUGAAUCCAGAAAAUUGUAUAAUUCAUAUUUAAUUCAUUUGAAGUCCAAAUUAAUCCAUUCUAGUUUCUAUAAUUUUGUAAUAUUAUUGUUUAUCAGAUAGUGUCUCUGUUUUGACAUGAAAAUCAUAUUAAAUGUAUCUCUUAAUUAAUCUUGUAUAAAAACAUAAAACCUUAAGAAAAUCAUAACCCCUUCGUUUUAAUUCUGAAUUGACUCGUUCCAGUUGCGUUAUCUUUGUAAUAAAAUUUCCUACUCAGAAACAACACUAUUUGUGUCAUAUCCAAUACUUUUAUAAUUAGAUCUUUAUUUAACUUAUGUUGGUUAGUCUUGUUAAUCUGGUUAACAUUAUAAUCUACUAAAAUAUGAUCUAUGGUCAAUUUAUAAUUUAGAUUAAAGUUGAAUUAAUUACUACUGUAGGUUAUCUUUUCUCUGGAAUUAUAAAAUAAACAUAGAACCUAGUUUUAAUCAUUUAAUCCCAUCAUAACUUGAUGACCGUAACUCCGAAUUUAGUGAUUCUCAUCCCAACGAUCUCCUAGCAAUGCGUAUAUUAUUAUUAUGCAGUAUGUUCUUAUGUCUUGUGAGAUGUUAAUUUUGUCUAUACCAUGUUUGUUUGUAUUGCUACGACUAGCAGUGAGGACACGAGGAUCUAAGGAUCAUCCUGGUACCUGGAAUCUCAAGUCCCAGGCAAGUUGUGCCCUUGAUCACUUUUGCUUACCCAAUAAUGUUCUUUAUAAUCAUUUAUUCAUGCAUAGGUUUAAUUUUGAUGGGACCCAAUAGAUCACCCUAGUCUGAUUAUCUAUUUUACCUUGUUUAUCCCUGAAUCAUUUGGGUAGUUAUGCUAUUGCUUUACAUGGUUUUAGGUUAAUAUUUCAUUAUAUCCAUGUUCCAAUUAUUUUGUUAUUUUAUUUAUGUUCAUGUCAAGAUCAUUAUCUUUAAUUGGAACAUGGAGCUUAACUUGAGAAACACGUGCCACCACAAGGGUGGAAUGGGACGCCCUUGGCUGACUAAUUAGGAAAGCUAGUGGAAGACUACCUUACCCAAAAGGGGCACGGGCAGUAGGGGAGUUGCAUGCAGGGAGGUUCUCGGGUUAAUUUUGCUGCGAUGGCGGUCAGACGAGGGAUUCUUGCAAGUGCUCUUCCCAUAAACUGUAGCGGGUUUUUGGAAGCUAGUGGAACUUUGUAAAGGCCUCGUAGUGGAUCCCUAGCCAUUCACCUUGGUAGUGUCUAAGGGUCUAGCUAACCCUGGCGAUAUGGGAUACACGACUUGUGGGUAUAGGGUACAACCUCUAUAGAGUGUAAAACUGGUAUACUAGCUGAGCUCACGGUCAAGAACAGCUCAGGACUCUCGCAUGAUUAAAUUAUGGAACUAAAUUCAUUUUGUCGUUUGCAUUGCAUGGGAUUUGUUAUUAAUUUUGUUCUAUUAUUAUUAUGGUUUGGUAUUUACUUACAUCUAGUAAUUGCUAAUAAAAUUUUGACCAACUUUAAAAGCAAUGCUCAGCUUUAACCACUCUCUUGGGUAAGCCUUACACUUCACUUGAGCUCCCACCUUUGGCGAGUUCAUGCACAUUAUUCCCCACAACUUGUUGAGCAAUGAACGUGUGUGAGCUCACCCUUGCUGUCUCACCCCCCCCCACAGGAGAAGUACAUGUGCUUCAAGAGGAGCCACACAACGAGGAGUUCGACUUGAUCUAGGUGGCGUCUCCCAGUUGACUUUAUGGCACCAAGGAUGGACUUUAGUUUGUUUUAUAUUUAUCUUUUAUUUUGUAAGACUUCCUCUAUGUAACAAGUAUUCUGAUUAUAUUGUGACAUUCAUCCCUAAACACUCUGUUCUUAUAUGUGUUGUCUUCUUUGGCGCAUAUAUGAGAUGCACCUGGCUUUGUCCCUUAAAUCCGGGUGUGACAGCGGCGAGAUUUCUCAUCGACGUUCACCACUGCCGCAGAUCCGCCUCGCGGCGUGGUCAGCACUGCUGUCGCCUCCAACCGUCG
rnacentral:lncRNA from 1 species